UAAGGUGAAGAUAGCAUAAGGGCUCCACCUCUUCCCAUUCCGAACAGAGAAGUUAAACCUUAUCACGCCGAUGGUACUGCGAAAGCGGGAGAGUAGGUAACCGCCACCU
rnacentral:rRNA from 2 species